rnacentral:rRNA from 1 species
GCGGAGGAAAAGAAACCAACUGGGAUUGCCUCAGUAACGGCGAGUGAAGCGGCAACAGCUCAAAUUUGAAAUCUGGCGCCUUGGGCGUCCGAGUUGUAAUUUGUAGAGGGAGUCUCGUGUUAAGGGUCGGUCCAAGUGCCUUGGAACAGGAUACCGAAGAGGGUGAGAGUCCCGUAUCCGGCCGACGCCAGCGCCCGUGUGAGGCCCCUUCGACGAGUCGAGUUGUUUGGGAAUGCAGCUCUAAAUGGGUGGUAAAUUCCAUCUAAAGCUAAAUACUGGCCAGAGACCGAUAGCGCACAAGUAGAGUGAUCGAAAGAUGAAAAGCACUUUGAAAAGAGAGUCAAACAGUACGUGAAAUUGUUGAAAGGGAAGCGUAUGUGGGCAGACUUGGACGCUGGAUUCAGGCCGCCUUCUGGCGGGUGUAUUUUCCAGCGGACAGGCCAGCAUCGGUUCUGAGGGCCGGACAAAGACGAAGGGAAUGUGGCUCCUCUCUAAAGGGUGUUAUAGCCCGGCGUGCAAUGCGGCC